ACGGGUGAGUAAUACAUCGGAACGUGCCCUGUAGUGGGGGAUAACUAGUCGAAAGAUUAGCUAAUACCGCAUACGACCUGAGGGUGAAAGUGGGGGACCGCAAGGCCUCAUGCUAUAGGAGCGGCCGAUGUCUGAUUAGCUAGUUGGUGAGGUAAAGGCUCACCAAGGCGAUGAUCAGUAGCUGGUCUGAGAGGACGAUCAGCCACACUGGGACUGAGACACGGCCCAGACUCCUACGGGAGGCAGCAGUGGGGAAUUUUGGACAAUGGGGGCAACCCUGAUCCAGCAAUGCCGCGUGUGUGAAGAAGGCCUUCGGGUUGUAAAGCACUUUUGUCCGGAAAGAAAUCGCACUUACUAAUAUUAGGUGUGGAUGACGGUACCGGAAGAAUAAGGACCGGCUAACUACGUGCCAGCAGCCGCGGUAAUACGUAGGGUCCAAGCGUUAAUCGGAAUUACUGGGCGUAAAGCGUGCGCAGGCGGUUGUGCAAGACCGAUGUGAAAUCCCCGGGCUUAACCUGGGAAUUGCAUUGGUGACUGCACGGCUAGAGUGUGUCAGAGGGGGGUAGAAUUCUACGU
rnacentral:rRNA from 1 species